UUUCAUUCCACGCCUUUUACCUGUGAAAAUGGAAGAACAAAUGGAAUUUUGAUAAAAGAAGCACUCAACAACCAACUAAGAGUUACGAAAGGUAUGCAGUACGCCAAAGGCGUGCUGAAACAAAGAGAGCUUUGAGAAACCUUUUCUCUAGUGACCGUGCCUCGAAUAUUUCAUUUCAGGAUGAAGAUCCAAUAUGGAAAUUUGAUGGGACAGGUGGC